CUCGACCACACAGUCUGUUCGUCAGCAUCCAUGCGACCCCUUCCCUCUGACAUUGGCACCUUAGAUGCACAGUGAAGGACGGUGGAAGCCACUGCAAUGAUGCUAUGUCACGCCUGUCUUGUACUUGUACGGUCUUGCUGGGCCUAGAGAAGUGGUGGUACUGUUCCCCAGGGAUUCCCACCUACAGUGGCUGGCUUCGGUCUUCUGUCUUCAGGCUCCUCUCUCCCUUCGGAGCACCUCUUCCCUGUGCCUGUGGGAGAGCGCAGAGAAGCGCCUCAGAUGAAGGCGGAAGGGAGGGCACCACCUGUUGCUGGGCAACUGUGCCCCAACUCCCCUGCCCCAAGACUGUUUCUAAGGCAACCUGGGGGAUGUGGUCACUGUGGUGAGCAGGCGGGUUCCUGGCAACAGAGGUGGGGCCGGAAUGGGCAGUGGUUCUGUUGAACUUGGUGUCACCCCAUAGUCAGGCCCCAGAAUACUCACCCAGAGGCCAAGCAAGAGGAGACAGAGACUCUGUCCCACCCAUGUCCGUCCCCCACUCCUCCCACCAUGGCACCAAGGCACCUCCCUCGACCUGCUCUUUCCACUGCCCCGGCCCUGUCCCGCCCACUGAGCCCUGCCAGACCUGCUCUUGCCAUCCAGCCCGCACAUGCCCUCCUGCUUCAGCUAGCCUCCUCCACUCUUUUCAUGGACAUACAUCUCCAUGUCUUCAGACCAUUUAACUCCAGUUUUUGUUAGAAAAUAUCUAGCCCUGGCUGGUGUGGCUCAGUGGAUUGAGUGCUGGGCUGUGAACCAAAGGGCCGCUGGUUUGAUUCCCAGUCAGGGCACAUGCCUGGGUUGCCGGCCAGGUCCCCAGUGGGGGCAUGUGGGAGGCAACCGCACAUCAGUGUUUCUCUCCCUCUCUUUCUCCUUCCCUUCCCCUCUCUCUAAAAAUAAAUAAAAAUCUUUAAAAAGAAAAAAUUGAGAGGUGAAGCUUGGGUAACAAUAAUAUCAGGCCUCUGGGAAGAGUCCAGGGUCAAAAACAGUCUUGGGCAUGUCUCCAAGACUCCGAGCAUUGGCCAGCUAGGCCCCUUUCUCCUGCUGCUGAGGGUGGGAGGAGCCUGGGUGGGGGCACAGUGGAGUGUCAACAGCUCCUGGACUGGAGUCCUAUCAGAUUGUUUAGUUUGACUCAUUCACUGACAGAUGACAAGUAAGCCCCAAAUAAGGGAGGUGUCAUGUCCAAAGUCACAUAGCACAUGUACACAGGGAUGGGGGCAGCAUAGAUAGAAAUUUCUGGUCUGGCAAGCUCCCUGAAUGUAAUAAUACAACUCUUACUGAGUAUUAGUAUUCUGUUUUGCAAAAUGACAGCCUUUUAAUGUGAAAGGCUACAAAACUAUGUUGAAAUGUUAGUGUCUCACAGAAGGGGAUCACAGGGGCUGUCUGACUCAGAUUGCUCUGCCCUGGCGGUUUUGAGGAAAGGGCCGGAAGGGGCCCAGAAUGCGACAGGGGUGGGUGUUGGUGGAAAGGAAGAGCCCUGUGGCUCUGGGCCUUACAACAUGCAGGAACCUGAUGAAACUAGAAUUUGAGGAGGUUAUAAGCCUUAAAAUCUGAACUUAAUAUCACUGAACUGAACACUUAAAAAUGAUUAAGACAGUAAAUUUAAUGUUAUAUGUAUGUGUGUCAAUAAAAAAGUAUUUUAAAAAGUCUAUAUAAAUAAACCUGAAAAUUGUUAUGUA